GCUGCAUAAUAGUACAUUUCAGCUGUAACAAAACAAAUCAUCUGAUGAAAUCUUUAACCACGAGAAUCUAGGAAAGGAUGUCAAGUCCAAAGAGAAGGCCAUAUAACAAAUGGUGGCUGAAUUCAUAAAGACUAGCUGGGAUGAUCCAGUACUUUUCUACUCAUAUGAACCAUAUCUAAACAUCAUUUGAGGAUCCCUUUCUCAGAAAAAAAAAAUUUGCAU